GCAUUGGUGGUUCAGUGGUAGAAUUCUCGCCUGCCACGUGGGGAGGCCCGGGUCGAUUCCCGGCGGCCAAUGCA
rnacentral:tRNA from 1 species